GAUGAAGAACGCAGCAAAAUGCGAUAAGUAAUGUGAAUUGCAGAAUUCAGUGAAUCAUCGAAUCUUUGAACGCACAUUGCGCCCGCUGGUAUUCCGGCGGGCAUGCCUGUUCGAGCGUCAUUUCAACCCUCAAGCCCCCGGGUUUGGUGUUGGGGAUCGGCUCUGCCCUUCUGGGCGGUGCCGCCCCCGAAAUACAUUGGCGGUCUCGCUGCAGCCUCCAUUGCGUAGUAGCUAACACCUCGCAACUGGAACGCGGCGCGGCCAUGCCAUAAAACCCCAACUUCUGAAUGUUGACCUCGGAUCAGGUAGGAAUACCCGCUGAACUUAAGCAUAUCAAUAAGCGGAGGA
rnacentral:misc_RNA from 1 species